rnacentral:rRNA from 1 species
UGGGGAAUAUUACACAAUGGGCGCAAGCCUGAUGCAGCCAUGCCGCGUGUAUGAAGAAGGCCUUCGGGUUGUAAAGUACUUUCAGCGGGGAGGAAGGCGAUAAGGUUAAUAACCUUGUCGAUUGACGUUACCCGCAGAAGAAGCACCGGCUAACUCCGUGCCAGCAGCCGCGGUAAUACGGAGGGUGCAAGCGUUAAUCGGAAUUACUGGGCGUAAAGCGCACGCAGGCGGUCUGUCAAGUCGGAUGUGAAAUCCCCGGGCUCAACCUGGGAACUGCAUUCGAAACUGGCAGGCUAGAGUCUUGUAGAGGGGGGUAGAAUUCCAGGUGUAGCGGUGAAAUGCGUAGAGAUCUGGAGGAAUACCGGUGGCGAAGGCGGCCCCCUGGACAAAGACUGACGCUCAGGUGCGAAAGCGUGGGGAGCAAACA